rnacentral:rRNA from 1 species
CAGUAGCCGGGGGAAUACGUAGGCAGCAAGCGUUGUUCGGAAUUACUGGGCGUAGAGAGUGUGUAGGCGGUGCUCUAAGUUCGGUGUGAAAUCUCCUGGCUUAACUGGGAGGGUGCGCCGAAAACUGGAGUGCUCGAGCGUGGGAGAGGAAAGCGGAAUUCCUGGUGUAGCGGUGAAAUGCGUAGAUAUCAGGAGGAACACCUGUGGUGUAGACAGCUUUCUGGACCAUAGCUGACGCUGAGACACGAAAGCGUGGGUAGCAAACAGGAUUAGAUACCCCAGUAGUCCCUGUCUCUUAUAC